AUUGAACGCUGGCGGCAGGCCUAACACAUGCAAGUCGGACGGUAGCACAGAGGAGCUUGCUCCUUGGGUGACGAGUGGCGGACGGGUGAGUAAUGUCUGGGGAUCUGCCCGAUAGAGGGGGAUAACCACUGGAAACGGUGGCUAAUACCGCAUAACGUCGCAAGACCAAGGAGGGGGACCUUCGGGCCUCUCACUAUCGGAUGAACCCAGAUGGGAUUAGCUAGUAGGCGGGGUAAUGGCCCACCUAGGCGACGAUCCCUAGCUGGUCUGAGAGGAUGACCAGCCACACUGGAACUGAGACACGGUCCAGACUCCUACGGGAGGCAGCAGUGGGGAAUAUUGCACAAUGGGCGCAAGCCUGAUGCAGCCAUGCCGCGUGUAUGAAGAAGGCCUUCGGGUUGUAAAGUACUUUCAGCGGGGAGGAAGGCGGUGAGGUUAAUAACCUUGCCGAUUGACGUUACCCGCAGAAGAAGCACCGGCUAACUCCGUGCCAGCAGCCGCGGUAA
rnacentral:rRNA from 1 species